CGCUCGAUAUUGAACCGAUACGUAUCGGACAUCGGUACACUCAAAUUAAUUUCUCGAAAAUCUUGUCGUGUCGGUAACCGAAUUAUUUUUAGAAAAGUAAAUAAAUUAUUGUCGCUUGUCCGAGUGGCUUUGCACUGUCUACCCGAGAACGACAAAUAACAAUAGAUGUCAGAUAACGACUACCUAGUAGAGUGCUAUAUAGAUGGCGAAGUCGGCCUCUGACGUCUUAUUUCCGAUAAUUAUUAAAUAAUAACGGUCAACAGCUGAGAGCGGAUCGUGUCGACUGCCAGUCCGUGGUUCGGUGAUAGUUCUUUUCUUUUAACGGAUAUCCCACACUGUCGUACAUGUAUUAUAUAUGUAUAGUUAUAUAAUUUACCCGCAUAACAGAAGUUUCCCACUAAAUACUGAAAUUGUGUUUUGUUCAGCUGACGCGUUUUAGUCGUUUACGCUCCGUCAUAAUUGAAUUUAAUAAUUUGAGGCUAGUGCCGUUCCUAUGACAAUUUUCAGUUUUUGUCCAUACGAUAUUGUGGCAUAAAUUAUGUUUUAAACAUUGUAAUAUCGUUCCGUCACCAAUUGCUGAUCGACAGAAGAAAUUAUUUACAACAUUCACGAAGUACAUAUUAACUAUUGUCUAUUAGAAUUGUCGGCAAUAUUAUUUGUGUUUCUAAAAUGGCAAACAACACUUGGAAUUCGUGGGUUUCUAACAUUCAACAAUCGGGCACUUGGAACAUAUAUGAUGGUUUUAAACCAGCAAAAUGUAAAAAUCAACCUCCAGUUAAUUAUAAACACAAAAGUGUUGUUGGUUGUCCAAACCGUGUGUUACAUGUUGAAAUUAUGAGGUCUACAGUUAAAAUCACUACGCAUGUAUUGUAUUCAAUUUUGGUCAUUCAUGGAGAAAUAUUACGAAUUGUUGUAUACAGAAAGUUUCGACAACUUAGGGCAUUUGUUGAAUUUAGUAAGGAGGAAUUUGCAACAAAAGUAAUUGAUGAAUCUAAUCAUAUUGUUUUAGAUUAUAUAACAUUGAAGGCUGAGUAUGGUAAGCCUUCCAGUGUAAUAGUAAAAAAAAAUGAUGAACUAUCUUGGGAUUAUUCAAAGUCACCCUUAUUAAAAUAUGUUAAUGGUUUACCUACACUGAAAUCUAUUGUCGCUAUUUUAAAAGAUUCACCUCAAAAAAAUAGAAACAUUGCAGAAAACGACAAAACUUGGGAACUGGUCGAAAACUAUGAUUUUAUUAAACCUGAUGAUAAACCCAUUGCGCCAGGAAAAAGUAGUACGAAACAGAUCAUUACAACCGCAAACAGUAAAACCCGUAAAACACUUUUGGUGAUACCAAUUUCCGAAGAAUUUUCCAUUCUUUCUGUCCGUGGCCUUGAUCCAGCUAAAAGCAAUUGUAAUCGACUUUUCAGACUAUUAUCUAUGUACGCCACGGUGGCUAAAAUUGAUUAUUUACCUGAAUUAAAGUCUGCUGAAGUUCACAUCAGUAAAUGCAAUGAUAUAAACAUAUUUGCUCAAGUUCAACAACAUUAUCUUUCGCAUGGAUUCAAUUUAUCAUUCCAAUAUUUAAAAGCUGAAUGGAUAUUGAAAAAACCUUCUAUCGAUCCAUUUAUUUUGCCCGAUGGAUCUCCAUCACAUGUAGUCUAUGAUAGAAAAAUGAAACCACAUGUAUUAUGUCCACCAUCUAGAGUGCUCCAGUUUGAAGGUGCUCCGCCAAGUAUGAAUGAAAUGAAACUUAUCGCUCUGUUAAAACGAACGAUAAAAAUAGAGGAUUUUAAGGUGAAAGUGACAACUCCUAAAGAUUCUAAAAAUUGUUCGACGAUUAGCGGUGAAAUGUGGUUUUCUUCUGCCAGUGUAGCUAUUGAAGUCGUAAUGGAAAUUAAUUAUGCUAUUUUUUGGAAUAAAGAUUCCAACAAGAAGAAGCACGUAUUGAAACUAUCAUUUAUUUCUGAAGUAUUGCCAAUACUUGAAGUUGUUGUGCCCAAAAAAGAAAACAAUAAAGCGAUUAAGAUCGAAGAUAAUAAAGCAAUCAAAACAGAAGAUUUUGAAGCAAUUGAAAAUGAAGAAAAUAAAAUGAUUAAAACGGAAGAUUUUAAAGCGAUUAAAAAUGAAAAUAAUAAAAGAAUCAAAACAGAAGAUUUUGAAGCGAUUGAAAAUGAAGAAAAUAAAAUCAUUAAAACGGAAAAUUUUAAAGCGAUUGAAAAUGAAAAUAAUAAAAGAAUCAAAACAGAAGAUUUUGAAGCGAUUGAAAAUGAAGAAAAUAAAAUCAUUAAAACGGAAGAUUUUGAAGCGAUUGAAAAUGAAUAUAAUAAAAGAAUCAAAACAGAAGAUUUUGAAGCGAUUGAAAAUGAAGAAAAUAAAAUCAUUAAAACGGAAGAUUUUGAAGCGAUUGAAAAUGAAUAUAAUAAAAGAAUCAAAACAGAAGAUUUUGAAGCGAUUGAAAAUGAAAAUAAUAAAAGAAUCAAAACAGAAGAUUUUGAAGCGAUUGAAAAUAAAGAAAAUAAAAUCAUUAAAACGGAAGAUUUUAAAGCGAUUGAAAAUGAAUAUAAUAAAAGAAUAAAAACAGAAGAUUUUGAAGCGAUUGAAUAUGAAGAAAAUAAAAUCAUUAAAACGGAAGAUUUUAAAGCGAUUGAAAAUGAAUAUAAUAAAAUCAUUAAAACGGAAGAUUUUAAAGUGAUUGAAAAUGAAAAUAAUAAAAUCAUUAAAACCGAAAGUAUUGACGCGAUCAUUAUGGAAGAUAAUAACGCAAUCAAAACAGAGUAUUGUAUAGUUAUUAAAACAGAAGUUGAUUAAUCAUAAAUUAAUCAUAAAAAUGUAUCAUAAAUGUUGAGGUUUUGCUUAGCAUAUGUUUAAAAAAAUGUAUAUGACAUGUCUUAAUUAUAAUUUGUUAUCACGGACGUACAUAAAUAACUCAAGACUGUAGGUUUAAAGAACGGAAUAUUGUAUGAAAAAUGUCGGUAUUUUCAUCAAGACUGAAUAUUUUUUUGAAAACAUUUCUUGUCAAUAUGAAACGCAAAACCAU